rnacentral:rRNA from 1 species
UUGACCUCGGAUCAGGUAGGGAUACCCGCUGAACUUAAACA